rnacentral:tRNA from 1 species
UAUUCUGUUAAAAAAGAUUUUCAUUCUUUUUAAAAUUAAAUUACAGAAUUU